UACGAAGGGGGCUAGCGUUGCUCGGAAUCACUGGGCGUAAAGCGCACGUAGGCGGCUUUCUAAGUCAGGGGUGAAAUCCUGGAGCUCAACUCCAGAACUGCCUUUGAUACUGGAGAGCUCGAGUCCGGAAGAGGUGAGUGGAACUGCGAGUGUAGAGGUGAAAUUCGUAGAUAUUCGCAAGAACACCAGUGGCGAAGGCGGCUCACUGGUCCGGUACUGACGCUGAGGCGCGAAAGCGUGGGGAGCAAACAGG
rnacentral:rRNA from 1 species